GUAAUACAGUCGGAACGUACCCUGAAGGUGGGGAUAACGUAGCGAAAGUUACGCUAAUACCGCAUAUUCUGUGAGCAGGAAAGAGGGGAUCGCAAGACCUCUUGCUUUAGGAGCGGCCGAUGUCGGAUUAGCUAGUUGGUGAGGUAAAGGCUCACCAAGGCGACGAUCCGUAGCGGGUCUGAGAGGAUGAUCCGCCACACUGGGACUGAGACACGGCCCAGACUCCUACGGGAGGCAGCAGGUGGGGAAUUUUGGACAAUGGGCGCAAGCCUGAUCCAGCCAUGCCGCGUGAGUGAAGAAGGCCUUUCGGGUUAGUAAAGCUUCUUUCGGUGGGGAAGAAAUUGCUUCGGUUAAUACCUGGAGUAGAUGACGGUACCCGCAUAAGAAGCACCGGCUAACUACGUG
rnacentral:rRNA from 1 species